UCUUGCAGAAAUGUAGGGAAAGGCUGCGUACAAUAGACCCAAAGUGGUCGGACCCUUCCCCAGACCCUGCACAAGCGGGAGCUACAUGCACUGGGGCUGCCCCCCCUUUAGUAUUCAGUUCAAGAUUUCUUAUGAAGUUUUGGAUAGGUUACCUAUUGUAGAUUCUGAAUGUUCAUGUGGUUAGCUUUCUUAUUCGAUUUAUAUAUCCAAAUGACAAGAAAUUUCACUACUCACUCCUUUGGUUAAUCUCUGUAUGUGUUCAUUUUUAAAUGCCUAUGCUUCUAUGAUUGGUCAUUCAGUUAGCAUUAGAUGCCUCAACCAGUGUACCUUAAUUCAAUCCUUCGACUGGGCACCCGUCUGAUUUCUGUCGACCCAUAUCUUAUUGCUUAUCUAAGGUAUCUAAAAGAUUAAUCUGCCAAUGAAUGGUUGUUUACUCAAUAGAGUACUUAGUUGGGUCAUUUUUUUGCCAAAUUAUGAAAAAUGGAUUUAUAGAGUUAUAUAACAGAAAAGAAUAUGGUAUUUACCUUUCUUCUUGUCAUUUGGAUAUAUAAAUCGAAUAGGAAAGGGCCAUGGGCCAGUCCCUGUAUUUUGAGCUAAAUCUUGGAUUCGCCAUUCUUUUCAGAGAAUGAAAGUAGUUCAAGAUUUCUUAUGAAGUUUUGGAUAGGUUACCUAUUGUAGAUUCUGAAUGUUCAUGUGGUUAGCUUUCUUAUUCGAUUUAUAUAUCCAAAUGACAAGAAAUUUCACUACUCACUCCUUUGGUUAAUCUCUGUAUGUGUUCAUUUUUAAAUGCCUAUGCUUCUAUGAUUGGUCAUUCAGUUAGCAUUAGAUGCCUCAACCAGUGUACCUUAAUUCAAUCCUUCGACUGGGCACCCGUCUGAUUUCUGUUGACCCAUAUCUUAUUGCUUAUCUAAGGUAUCUAAAAGAUUAAUCUGCCAAUGAAUGGUUGUUUACUCAAUAGAGUACUUAGUUGGGUCAUUUUUUUGCCAAAUUAUGAAAAAUGGAUUUAUAGAGUUAUAUAACAGAAAAGAAUAUGGUAUUUACCUUUCUUCUUGUCAUUUGGAUAUAUAAAUCGAAUAGGAAAGGGCCAUGGGCCAGUCCCUGUAUUUUGAGCUAAAUCUUGGAUUCGCCAUUCUUUUCAGAGAAUGAAAGUAGUGCAAAGGGCCAAUGUUGCAUAGCCUUUACCCACUCUGCACUCUCGUAACAUCUCAAGGUGAGAGAUCUCUGCUGCUAGAUUCUUCUCCUUGGGUGGUUCUAACUCCAUCGGCUAGCAUUGUUGGAGUUAUUAGAGGUGUUUUAUAGUUGAUUGAUUCUUAAUGUUGAUGUGGCAGUAGCGACUACUCCCGGUACAUCUUCUGUUGAUCACGAGCAACACCAAGAGAUAUCUUUGCUAUUUGCAGUGGCUUGUUGGGUUUGAAGGAUGAAGCAAAUCCCAAGGAAGGAACAUGUUAACCUAUCUUGAUGCGUACUGCUGCUCUUGAUACGCAUCAAGAUUUGAUUUAGAUGAAGCUAAUAAUGAAAAGUGUCAUCAGUGUGCUGUUAUAUGUAUUAUCGACCAAUACAUGUGUAGCAUUACUCGGAUAACAUUUCAUUAAUAGAAAAUUGUUUAAUGUGGAUUUCCCUUUUUGGCCUAUAAACCUGCCAUGGAAUGGUC
rnacentral:lncRNA from 1 species